rnacentral:hammerhead_ribozyme from 1 species
AUCCAGUUGACGAGUCUCAAACAGGACGAAACGCGCAUCCUGGAU